CUAGUGGUCCUGUGCGCUAUACUACACAACAUCGCGGUAAGGAGUAGCGUAGAGCUUCCUCAGACAGAGGAAUUGCCUGAUGAGGAGCCAGGGGUUGUCCGACACUUCGGUGGGGGGAGUGUUACACGGAGGGGGAGCCAAGUCAGGGCAAGCAUUGUUGCGGAAUAUUUCAGCUGAAUGAUCACACAAACUGUGGACGACCACAACGGCAAGCAACACAUGAGGCACCAUCUCAGCCCCCUUCCCCUUCUCACUCCCCCUCCACUUCCCAGUCCCCCUCCCCUUCUCACUCCCCCUCCCCUUCCCAAUCCCCCUCAGCUUCCCAGUCCCCCUCAGCUUCCCAAUCCCCCUCUGCUUCCCAGUCCCCCUCAGCUUCCCAGUCCCCCUCAGCUUCCCAAUCCCCCUCAGCUUCCCAGUCACCCUCAGCUACCCAGGCCCACUCCACUUUCCACUCCCCUUCUCACCCCACCUCUCCUUCUCUUUCUGUGACCCCUUCUCCUCCUUCCCAUACCCCUUCUCCUUCAACUUCCAAAUCACCUUCUCAGCCCCCCUCACCCUCUAUUGGCCUAACAUUCUCUCCGCCCCCCUCGCCCUCUCAAUCAGACCCACCCUCUGAAAUAACAUCCCCAAUCCCUCCUCCUUCCCCCAUCCAGCCUCCUUCACCCAUCCCUCCUCCUUCCCCAAUCCCUCCUCCUUCCCCCAUCCAGCCGCCUUCCCCCAUCCAGCUGGCAUCACCACCCAGCGAAUGGGCAGAAGAAGCCCCAGAUGGGCUAAGUGACAAUGUUGUGGAGGAAAAUUCUGCAGUUGGAGAUCCCAGCACUUUGCCUGAACUUUUAGGGCGGCUGAAAGCCCAUUUAAGGGAAGUGUUAGCAGAUAUCGAGGCAAUAGAAAAAAAUCU